GUAGAUUAUAUCAUUUAAUUCUGUCAAUAAAUCCUAGAAGGGGGAAACGUACUUUGAACGCAAUUUUUUUAGUUACUGACUUAAAGUUAAAAUAAAAUUCCAGAUUGCAUCAUUUCUCUUCUCUCAUCGAGACCUGUCACCGUCUCUCUUCAUUGUGCGAGAUUUAUCUUCCCCGAAUCUCUUUGAUUUCGUCGGUGUCUUGUGCGCAUGAGUGAGAAUCCAGGCAGCGAAAUUGGCAGACUUCGUAACUGCUGCCCCAGGGGAGUCUGGUUACGGUGCCCAAUCUACGCCCUCGGAUGAAGGACUUCCUGCAACGUUGCAACAACCAUGGCAGAGAUCCAACAUAAUUGCAGCCAGAAGGAUUGAUAGGGGAGAGGAAAUCACCUAGUUGGAGUUAACUGCCCUCUUUCUUCAUCACCUGGUCCAUAAACGAGCUAACGACCGGUGUCAACAAUCUUCAACAACUCUUGUUUUUUUAAAUUCACCUCAGUACAUGUUGUAACUAAUUUUUCAUUUGGACUGAAGAUGAACAGGGAAGGGUUCGAAAGCUUUUUGUAUAGUUUUAAAAAUUAUACACUGACUCGCAACA